rnacentral:rRNA from 1 species
UACGAAGGGUGCAAACGUUGCUCGGAAUUACUGGGCGUAAAGAGCGCGCAGGCGGUCGAUCAAGUCGCGUGUGAAAGCCCCCGGCUCAACUGGGGAGGGUCACGCGAUACUGAUCGACUCGAAGGCAGGAGAGGGUAGUGGAAUUCCCGGUGUAGUGGUGAAAUGCGUAGAUAUCGGGAGGAACACCAGUGGCGAAGGCGACUACCUGGCCUGUUUCUUGACGCUGAGGCGCGAAAGCUAGGGGAGCAAACGGG